AUAAAAGAUCUUUGAACUUCUCUGCUCACUUAUAUGUGUUUGUGUGUUCAUUAUUGCUUCGCCUGUCCCUACCCGCAAACACUGAAGAUAUUUUAAUAGGAAAUCUUUUCUGGUUUGUUUGUUUACUCUUCAGAGCAGAGGUAUAUCCUCAACAAUAUGACCCUGUAACAACUUAUUUCCUGUAGAAUUUAGGUAAAAUUUGAAAUCACAAGGUUCUCCACAAAUUACUGUCAAGCUUUGCACAAUAGAAUCAAGAUUAUGAGACCCCUGCUGUGGAUUUCAGAAGCAUCUCAUAGUUCCUUCAGCAGCAUAGAAGCUGGCAGAGGAAGAAAAUUAGACAAUGGACAGAGUGGCACCAAGAGGUUUUGAAGCAACAGAAAGAAGACCAGCUGAAGAACAAACACCUCCCAUGUGUACCUUCCCCUGAAAAAUCAGAUCAGCAUCAGAGGUCCUGUUCCGUAUCUUCUUGCUAUCUGAAGUUCAAUAGCUUCCAUUUUCUCGCGAAUCAUUGGUUGCUUAGGACUGAGCCUUGGUACGGUGCCUAAUGGCUGGGAUUCUGCUGUUCCUGCAUAAUCUUCCAUCUCGCCCCACAGGUGGAACACUGAGCAGUUUACAGAGAAAACAUUGGGGCCUACUAUUCAAAGAAGAAAAGUAACAAAAGAAAAUUACUACUGAUUGUACCCAAGCGACUGGAUAAAGUACCUCUUGGAUUCUGCCUAUAAACGCAUCUGAACCAUCUUGCAUUACAUUUAUUAAAUUAUGUUGGAUUUAUUGUCAUAAAAUAAAAGAACAUACUCAAACAAGUAACAUAAGGUGAAACUCACUGGGCAGAUGUUAAAUGUCAUUUGUACAGUUCUAGAGAAAUUAUACAGAAAAUUCAAUGAGUUGGGUAUAUUUUUAAAAAGAAAGCAGCAAGGCUAAUCACAUGCUAAAGGAGGCAACUAGGUCCUUGUGACUUUUUAUUGUAACUUUUGCAAAUGUUUGUUUUUAUAGUUAUAAGAAACUAAAAAUCAAAACAUUACCCAAAGGAAAAAAUAAAUGAAAAAGAGAAAGAAAUAAGUCUCUCCAAAUAGAGUGGUUAAACAAACCAUAUUGUGAGCAUGGUUGUUAAUCUUCUUCAAAUUAAUAACUGCAAAUAAUAUGUAACAUUUAGUUGGUUUAUUUGUUGUCUUUCCUCAUUCUUCUCCAUAAUUAAGACAAGUGCCCGGGUUAUUAGAAAAUAUGCAGCCUUCGCCAUGUCCACAGACAUCCUAAUGGAUGAGUGAUCUUUUCCAUUAUACCUACAACUCAUAUUCAGAGUAUCCGUUGCAGGGAUGUUUGUUUUAUUUUUCCAGCUAUGACUGAUUUGGGCUAUAGUUAAUAUGGAUUAUCAGUCCCUCAUGUUUGUUUCAUUGCUUGCAACUAUCAUCUAGGAAUAUAGGAAGGUGCCAUAUACUGAGUCAGACCAUUGGUCUAUCUAGCUCAGUAUUGUCUUCACAGACUGGCAGUGGCUUCUCCAAGGUUGCAGGCAGGAAUCGCUCUCAGCCCUAUCUUGGAGACGUCGGACGUAACCCCCCCCCCCAAUUACCUGAUGUGCCUUGAAAUCCCCCACCCCCGAGUUACAGUACUACCUGCAUAUACUUCAUAACCUUGUGGGUUUCCUAAUCAUUGUGUGUAAAUCUUUGUAGAUAUAUCAUGUACAAACAACCACUUUGUAUAUAAUUGUGCUUUGGCAACGUACUGUAUGCUUUGGUAGUUUGUUGGUUCAAUAAAAAAUCU